CUUGCAACAAGGAUCAGGCAUGGU
rnacentral:siRNA from 1 species